UACAGAGGGUGCGAGCGUUGUUCGGAAUUACUGGGCGUAAAGCGCGUGUAGGCGGCCAGGUAGGUCCGACGUGAAAACUGGAGGCUCAACCUCCAGCUGUCGUUGGAAACCAUCUGGCUAGAGUCCGGAAGAGGAGAGUGGAAUUCCUGGUGUAGCGGUGAAAUGCGCAGAUAUCAGGAAGAACACCAAUGGCGAAGGCAGCUCUCUGGGACGGUACUGACGCUGAGACGCGAAAGCGUGGGGAGCGAACAGG
rnacentral:rRNA from 1 species